rfam:Schistocephalus solidus strain NST_G2 genome assembly, scaffold: SSLN_scaffold0015931
GGACCCGUGGCUCAAUGGUAGAGCGUUGGACUCAAUUACCAAAGGUCGCGGGUUCGAAUCCCAGAUGGUCCA